GCCUUUGUGGUGUAGUGGUCAGCAUGCUUGGCUCGUAUUCAAGAGGUCCAUGGUUUGAAUCCUGGUGAGGGCA
rfam:Stegodyphus mimosarum contig43437, whole genome shotgun sequence.